UACGGGGGGGGCAAGCGUUGUUCGGAAUUACUGGGCGUAAAGGGCUCGUAGGCGGCCAACUAAGUCAGACGUGAAAUCCCUCGGCUUAACCGGGGAACUGCGUCUGAUACUGGAUGGCUUGAGAUUGGGAGAGGGAUGCGGAAUUCCAGGUGUAGCGGUGAAAUGCGUAGAUAUCGAGAGGAACACCUGCGGCGAAGGCGGGUUGCUGGGCCGACACUGACGCUGAUGCGCGAAAGCCAGGGGAGCGAACGGG
rnacentral:rRNA from 1 species